CUGAAUACUGAGUGCCAGGCAGAGACUGAGGAUGGGGUGGAUGGAGAUGCAGGCGGGCGCCGGUGACGCAGGGGCUGUAGCACAGGUCUAAGGGUGUCAACCACGUGCUGCAGGCAAAAAGGGAUGAAAGAAAGGGUUAAGGUAGAGAAGGAUGUGGUCCAAGUUGCAUCUCUAAGGGAUUAUUCUGGCAGUUCUGUGUGGAUCAGAGACCAUCCUGGAUCUGGGAGACCUGGUAGAGGAGGGUAAUCUGGGUGCAGUGAUGGAGAUGGAGCAGUGAGCUUGGAAGCUAGCGAGGAGGUGAAAGUGAACAGGAACUGCUGGAUUAAGGAAGGGAAGCCAGGGAGGGAGACGACUCUAGGAUGGUGUCCAGCUUCCUUGCUGGGGAUCCUGGUAGAACAUUUGUGAGCUGGGACCCAAGGAGAGCUGCUGAUCUGGACAAUAAGGUGGCUUUCUGGACUCAGCACACUCCUUUCCCCAUGUGGUACACAGUUCACUAAGGCUCCCAGAAGUGAAGCAUCAAGGUGUUUAAUCAGCGGUUACUGAAUGAAUGAAAGAAAGAGUAGUUGAAACCGGCCUUCUGACAGCAAAGCUGAGACUCCAAGACACGACAUGGCUUGUACAGGACAUCUCUACAAUUUGAUGGUGGCAGCAGUACUCAGACCCCACUCUCCUGACCUCCAGCCGGAUGACGACUGCUUUCUUUACGUGGGUGAGGAAAUUCGUUAAAAUAAAAAAAUAUGAGCAUGCUUUAUAAAACAUAAAGUGCUCCAGCACGUCAAGAUAUUUUUGGUAUGUGCUUUUCCUGAGCAUCAGUUUUCCUCAUAUAUUCACAGGCAUGGGUUGGUAUCAGUGAUCUCCCCACUCUGUUGUCUGGGGUGAUAUGGAAGGUGCUAUGGUCCAGAAGCAGCUCUCUGUCUCAUGCUUCUCCAAAGAGGGGACGGGAGAUUGGCAAUAAAGCUAUGUCUCUUCUGUCUUCAGAUAUUGCUGGAAAUUUAGUACAUG
rnacentral:lncRNA from 1 species